GGGGUAUGGCUCAGUUGGCUAGAGCACCUGCCUUGCAAGCAGGGGGUCGACGGUUCGAAUCCGUCUAUCUCC
rnacentral:tRNA from 1 species